rnacentral:rRNA from 1 species
AUUGAACGCUGGCGGCAUGCCUUACACAUGCAAGUCGAACGGUAACAGGUCUUCGGAUGCUGACGAGUGGCGAACGGGUGAGUAAUACAUCGGAACGUGCCUAGUAGUGGGGGAUAACUACUCGAAAGAGUGGCUAAUACCGCAUGAGAUCUACGGAUGAAAGCAGGGGAUCGCAAGACCUUGUGCCACUAGAGCGGCCGAUGGCAGAUUAGGUAGUUGGUGGGAUAAAAGCUUACCAAGCCGACGAUCUGUAGCUGGUCUGAGAGGACGAUCAGCCACACUGGGACUGAGACACGGCCCAGACUCCUACGGGAGGCAGCAGUGGGGAAUUUUGGACAAUGGGCGCGAGCCUGAUCCAGCAAUGCCGCGUGCAGGAUGAAGGCCUUCGGGUUGUAAACUGCUUUUGUACGGAACGAAAAGCCCUGGGUUAAUACCCUGGGGUCAUGACGGUACCGUAAGAAUAAGCACCGGCUAACUACGUGCCAGCAGCCGCAGUAACAC